UUAAACUGAAGAGUUUGAUCCUGGCUCAGAUUGAACGCUGGUGGCAUGCUUAACACAUGCAAGUCGAACGGUAGCAGGACUAGCUUGCUAGUUGCUGACGAGUGGCGGACGGGUGAGUAACGCGUAGGAAUCUACCCAUUUGAGGGGGAUACCAGUUGGAAACGACUGUUAAUACCGCAUAAUAUCUGUGGAUUAAAGGUGGCCUUUGUGCUGUCGCAGAUGGAUGAGCCUGCGUUGGAUUAGCUAGUUGGUAGGGUAAGGGCCUACCAAGGCUACGAUCCAUAGCUGAUUUGAGAGGAUGAUCAGCCACAUUGGGACUGAGACACGGCCCAAACUCCUACGGGAGGCAGCAGUGGGGAAUAUUGGACAAUGGGGGCAACCCUGAUCCAGCAAUGCCAUGUGUGUGAAGAAGGCUCUAGGGUUGUAAAGCACUUUAGUUGGGGAGGAAAGCCUAUGGGUUAAUAGCCUGUGGGGAGGACGUUACCCAAAGAAUAAGCACCGGCUAACUCCGUGCCAGCAGCCGCGGUAAUACGGGGGGUGCAAGCGUUAAUCGGAAUUACUGGGCGUAAAGGGUCUGUAGGUGGUUUGUUAAGUCAGAUGUGAAAGCCCAGGGCUCAACCUUGGAACUGCAUUUGAUACUGGCAAACUAGAGUAUGGUAGAGGAAUGGGGAAUUUCUGGUGUAGCGGUGAAAUGCGUAGAGAUCAGAAGGAACACCGAUGGCGAAGGCAACAUUCUGGACUGAUACUGACACUGAGGGACGAAAGCGUGGGGAUCAAACAGGAUUAGAUACCCUGGUAGUCCACGCUGUAAACGAUGAGUACUAGCUGUUGGAGUCGGUGUAAAGGCUCUAGUGGCGCAGCUAACGCGAUAAGUACUCCGCCUGGGGACUACGGCCGCAAGGCUAAAACUCAAAGGAAUUGACGGGGACCCGCACAAGCGGUGGAGCAUGUGGUUUAAUUCGAUGCAACGCGAAGAACCUUACCUGGUCUUGACAUCCACAGAACUUUUCAGAGAUGAAUUGGUGCCUUCGGGAACUGUGUGACAGGUGCUGCACGGCUGUCGUCAGCUCGUGUUGUGAAAUGUUGGGUUAAGUCCCGCAACGAGCGCAACCCCUAUUGAUAGUUACCAUCAUUAAGUUGGGUACUCUAUUGAGACUGCCGCUGACAAGGCGGAGGAAGGUGGGGACGACGUCAAGUCAUCAUGGCCCUUACGACCAGGGCUACACACGUGCUACAAUGGGUAUUACAGAGGGCUGCGAAGGAGCGAUCUGGAGCGAAACUCAAAAAGGUACUCUUAGUCCGGAUUGCAGUCUGCAACUCGACUGCAUGAAGUCGGAAUCGCUAGUAAUCGCAGGUCAGAAUACUGCGGUGAAUACGUUCCCGGGUCUUGUACACACCGCCCGUCACACCAUGGGAGUGGGUUGCUCCAGAAGUAGAUAGCUUAACGAAAGGGCGUUUACCACGGAGUGAUUCAUGACUGGGGUGAAGUCGUAACAAGGUAGCCGUAGGGGAACCUGCGGCUGGAUCACCUCCUUAACGGAAAU
rnacentral:rRNA from 1 species